rnacentral:rRNA from 1 species
UGGGGAAUAUUGCACAAUGGGGGAAACCCUAAUGCAGCAACGCCGCGUGAAGGAUGAAGGUUUUCGGAUCGUAAACUUCUAUCAACAGGGACGAAACAAAUGACGGUACCUGAAUAAGAAGCCCCGGCUAACUACGUGCCAGCAGCCGCGGUAAUACGUAGGGGGCAAGCGUUAUCCGGAAUUACUGGGUGUAAAGGGAGCGUAGGCGGCACGUCAAGCCAGAUGUGAAAGCCCGGGGCUUAACCCCGUGGAUUGCAUUUGGAACUGGCGAGCUAGAGUACAGGAGAGGAAAGCGGAAUUCCUAGUGUAGCGGUGAAAUGCGUAGAUAUUAGGAAGAACACCAGUGGCGAAGGCGGCUUUCUGGACUGAAACUGACGCUGAGGCUCGAAAGCGUGGGGAGCAAACAGGAUUAGAUACC